rnacentral:rRNA from 1 species
CCUACGGGAGGCAGCAGUGAGGAAUAUUGGUCAAUGGACGCAAGUCUGAACCAGCCAUGCCGCGUGCAGGAAGACGGCUCUAUGAGUUGUAAACUGCUUUUGUACGAGGGUAAACGCAGAUACGCGUAUCUGUCUGAAAGUAUCGUACGAAUAAGGAUCGGCUAACUCCGUGCCAGCAGCCGCGGUAAUACGGAGGAUUCAAGCGUUAUCCGGAUUUAUUGGGUUUAAAGGGUGCGUAGGCGGUCGGAUAAGUUAGAGGUGAAAUCCCGAGGCUCAACUUCGGAAUUGCCUCUGAUACUGUUCGGCGAGGGAGUAGUUGCGGUAGGCGGAAUGUAUGGUGUAGCGGUGAAAUGCUUAGAGAUCAUACAGAACAACGAUUGCGAAGGCAGCUUACCAAGCUACUUCUGACGUUGAGGCACGAAAGCGUGGGGAGCAAACAGGAGUAGAUACCCGAGUAGUC